rnacentral:rRNA from 1 species
GGAUCCAGCCGCCGCGGUAAUACGGAGGAUGCGAGCGUUAUCCGGAUUUAUUGGGUUUAAAGGGUGCGCAGGCGGUCUGUUAAGUCAGCGGUCAAAGCCCGGGGCUCAACCCCGGCCCGCCGUUGAAACUGGCAGUCUCGAGUUGGAGAGAAGUAUGCGGAAUGCGCGGUGUAGCGGUGAAAUGCAUAGAUAUCGCGCAGAACUCCGAUUGCGAAGGCAGCAUGCCGGCUCCACACUGACGCUGAGGCACGAAAGCGUGGGUAUCGAACAGGAUUAGAUACCCUGGUAGUCCACGCAGUAAACGAUGAAUGCUGGCUGUCCGGGGGGAUUGACCCCUGGGUGGCGAAGCGAAAGCGAUAAGCAUUCCACCUGGGGAGUACGCCGGCAACGGUGAAACUCAAAGGAAUUGACGGGGGCCCGCACAAGCGGAGGAACAUGUGGUUUAAUUCGAUGAUACGCGAGGAACCUUACCCGGGCUCAAACGGGGAGUGACUCAGGCAGAGACGCCUGUUUCCCACGGGACACUCCCCGAGGUGCUGCAUGGUUGUCGUCAGCUCGUGCCGUGAGGUGUCGGCUUAAGUGCCAUAACGAGCGCAACCCCCGCGUGCAGUUGCUAACAGAUAACGCUGAGGACUCUGCACGGACUGCCGGCGCAAGCCGCGAGGAAGGCGGGGAUGACGUCAAAUCAGCACGGCCCUUACGUCCGGGGCGACACACGUGUUACAAUGGGUGGUACAGCGGGAAGCCAGGCGGCGACGCCGAGCGGAACCCGAAAUCCACUCUCAGUUCGGAUCGGAGUCUGCAACCCGACUCCGUGAAGCUGGAUUCGCUAGUAAUCGCGCAUCAGCCAUGGCGCGGUGAAUACGUUCCCGGGCCUUGCACACACCGCCCGU